rnacentral:lncRNA from 1 species
AUGCUGUCACUGCACACAACUUUCUCUACUAUUACUCUACUGUACAUCAUAACAGGUGUCCGCUGUGAAGAACUCACUCCAGUAAAGGAUGAAGAGUCCAGUUUAGAAGAGAGCACUGUUACUCUGUCCUACACAUACAACAAACAAGCAACUGGUAGUGAUUAUUUCUUCUGGUAUCGACAAUAUCCAGGAAAACCACCAGAGUUCCUCAUCUCUCACUCUGGUUCAGGAAAUGUAGGACAGGAACAAAUCCCUGGACUGAAGAUUAAAGUGGAGCAAAACCAAAUAGAUAUGAACAUCUCCUCUGCUGCAGUGACAGACUCUGCUGUGUACUACUGUGCUGUGAAGCCCACAGUGACAGGAAACACCAAAACUCUGUACAAAAACCUGACAGCUCCUCACUGAAGAUUUACACACUCCAGCUUCUGCUUUUACUGAAAAACAGCCCCAUCAAGUGGACACUGAUAAUAAGAUCCAGUGAUAAAAUAAAUAGUUAUUCAGUUAACAGUCUGUCUUAAAACAACAUUCACAUGUUCAUAUGUACAUUAAAACAUGAUUCUUUCUGUAAUCAUUCCUCCUGUUCAUACUGGUCUUUAAAAGAUAUUUUCCUGAUGUGAAUUCCAUCCUAGUGAUGGGGGACAAACUCCAUAGUCCUCAUUCUGUACAGAAAUAUAUUCCAAAGUUCAGUUCAAGGUAAUAUGAUGAUUCAGCAGUCUGAGUUACACAAAAAAAGAUACCAUCUAAAUCUUUUUGUGCAGAGGCAAUUUCAUGUUAAAAAGUCUUAAACUUUAGAAGAAACCCACUGGAUCUAACUGCUGAAGUCUCAUAUUAACUUCAACUGUGUUAUCAGUUGAGAGGAAUCCAUCAUCCUCUGUGAACCAUGAAUAUCUGGAUAAAAGCUCAUGACAAUCCAUUCAGCAGUUUCUGAGAUAUUUCACUGCUGAAUAUAAAUGAGAUGUAAAUGUUGAGAGUUCCUCAGCAGAUGAUAAAGAGGAAGGACCAAUGAUGUGAAGGCCCAGAUCCAUCAGAGUAUCAAUGUUCUUCCUCUCUCUCCUCCCCUCUCACUGCAGACAUGAAACACUGGCUGAGAAACAUCCUGAUUCUGACUCUCUGGCUAGGUAACUCUUUAAACCUACUGAUUGUUCUCCUUUAAUCAAUCAUCUUUAU